UAAAAUUUGGUGCUCAUUUCCGGCUGCCAAUAAAAGGCAUCAGAAUUGCCUUGGUGAGGGGUUCCUUUUCAGCGAUAUAGUCCCCCCAAAACUCUCUCAUUAGUUUUUGAGAUCUGAAGUAAAAAUUCAAUUUCAAAAAAUCAAAAACAAAACAAAAAAUCAAAAUCCAAAAAUCUCUAACGUUUCAUUGAGAACUUGCAAAUUUGAUCCUAUUUUCAGCAAGUCUCUUCACAUUUUGUAUUUUUAGUUGAGUUUGGGUUUGUUAAAGCAGUUGGGUGCCUUUUCAAGUAGGUUUCGCAUCGGGUGGGUUUAACUUGGGGUCUAAUUUGGGUUCUCUAAGCUGUUUUGGCUUCGGUUGUGUGUGGAAAUUGUUCUAAAGUUUCACUUCUUUAAUUCUGGGUAUAUUCAAGUUCGUUUGAGUCUUUUGGUUUGAUUAUUUGUGGUUGCUGUUGAUUCCUUAACUUGUUUUGGGUUGUGGUCGAGUUUAAGUCUAAGUUGUUGCUGCUCGAUACUACUUUAUUGCUAACAUCUCUCCUCUCCUUUGUUUCCCUCUAUUUCCAGGUACACAUUCGAGGUUGUAAUUUCCUUAAUGAAAUGAAAAAUGCAAUGGCACUCAAAGGCUUGAUGAAGUUUCGACUGUGUUUUCACUUUCAUGAAGAGUUUUAGGAUUUAACUUCAUUGCACUUAUUGAUUUAGUUGUUAGCUUUACUGAGUUUGAAUUGUGAUCAGUGUGAAAUUAAUAUUGGACUGUACCUAGGACUGUUAAUUAGAAUAAAUGGAAUGUGCAUACUUGGGUAUAUAAUAUGUGAAGUGUAAUUUGAAUUUGACCUGUAUGAUUGAUGAACACAAGAUGGUAUAGUGGGCGAGCUUCAGGAUCACUUGCUCAUUUGAAUUACUAGCACUGUGCUUGUUUUUUUCAAGAGUUAGAUAAUUCAUAGGUCACAUGAGCUGGGAUUUCUAUCUCUUUGGAAAUGUUGCUUAGAUAGUCUUUAUUGUCAACAAUCCCUAUUGAUUUAAUUUGUGAGUUUAUAACGUCAAACUGAGUAGUUGUUUGAAUAAAAACGGAAGGUUUUACGAUUUCA
rnacentral:lncRNA from 1 species